rnacentral:lncRNA from 1 species
ACGAAUCUGGUCCUUCUAUUGUCCACAGAAAGUGUUUCUGAUUUUCCUAGAGUGACAAUGUUGAUGAAAGGAAAAUACUUACUUCCUACUGGAUCAGAAAUGCAGUUGCAUUGUUAUAUUCCAGCUUUAUUUUCUGUAUUUUUGUUCUCAUGUUGGAUUGAAGAUAUUGAGUAUUGAGUGGGUAAGGAGUUGAUUGUUGGGUCAUCUUAUUCUUUUAUUUCUCUAUUUGACUUUCAAGUUUCUACUCUUCCAUUGUUCUUCUCUUUUAUGUUCCCCCCCCCCCCCUUUUCCUUUGCCUACUUGAGAUGACUGAAGAUUGCUUGAUUAGGCAAGAAUCUAAUUAAUGGUGCCUUUUUAUAGCACAACAUAUGCAUAGCUUUACUUUCACUGAGGAGUACUUAUAGACGCUGACAUAAACUGUUUCACCAUUUGUGCGAUAUAGCAUCCGAUCUUGGCCCGAUUAGGUAAGCUGUCUCACCGUAUGUUGACUGUUGAUCAAGGGUAGAAAUGACACCAGAUAGCCAUGGUAAAGGGUUCCUAUUUAGGAAUUAGCUAGUAUGUCCUGAAUUUUAGUUUUUCAGUUCAACUUUUUAGGACAAAAAUGUCUCGAAUUAAUCUGAAGUUAAGUACUAUCUCUAAAUAACAUCCUAGAAUAGCUAUCUUUGCACUUGCGCCUAUGAAAAUUUUGAUGGGUCUAAGUCACACCAUCGCAUUGAUGGGUCUAAGUCGAACCAUCGCAUUGUUUAAAGCUGCUGUAUCAAAAAAGCAUGGCGGUAGAUCCCAUAACUAAAACUUAACAAAAGAAUAUGAAGCUAUCUCAAAUUGUUCAACUUCUGAUUGAGUUAUUUGAAGUCACUUGGUUCAUAAAUUAUCUUUGUGAAUAUAAUUGUUCAUAGCGAUUUCUUGCACAAAUUGGAAUUGAUCAUUAUCAAAUAUAUCAGAAAUUUUACGAUAGAAUAGCACGAUCAGGAACUUCCUGUUUCAGAAUAAUAAUUCUGAGUUGAGCGCAGGAAUACAAUGGCCUUUCCUACUUUUUCACAAAAUUGAGUUUCUUACAAGGGGUGAAGAUAUGAGGAGGAAAAUAAGGCCCGUUUGUUCAUAGUUUUUUUUCCCUUUUUUCAAUUUUUUUUCUUUCAAAAAUGUGUUUGUCCACGAAAUUUGGCAAGUUUUUGGAAAUUUUUCGAAAAUGAGUUUUUCAAAAACCAAAAAGGGGUUUUGACCACGCUAAAAUUUCAGAAAAACUGUUUUCUCCAUUCACAAAAUUGCAACAUUUUUUCAAAUAAAAUACAUAUCCAAAUAUUAUUUUUCAACUUAACUACAAUUACUAAUCUUUUUCCAAAAAAUACAAUUUUCAUGUCCAAACGUUUAUCAAGACACAGCUAACGAAAUUCUAUUAAACCCAUCUUCUUCCUCAACUUCGAUAAACUUUAAAACCAUAACGCUGGCUUUAAAAGUCAAUAGCCCGUCUAGCUCAGUUGGUAGAGCGCAAGGCUCUUAACCUUGUGGUCGUGGGUUCGAGCCCCACGGUGGGCGUUAUUUUUGGCCUACGUUUUGUUUUUUGUUGUUAUGGAGUAAACUAUAUAUGGGCCCUUUUGUCCAUUUCAGGCCAAUGACACCAUAUCACUCUAAGGGUGUGUUUGGUAUAAGGAAAAUAUUUUUCAAUUUUUUCAUGUUUGGUUGGUUUAAAGAGAAGGGAAAAUAUUUUUCAAAACUCCUUCUCAACCUUUCCCACGCUAUUACCUAACCCACCCAGCUAACCCCACCCCACCCCAUCUCUCCAAAAAGGCUUCUUUUUCUUUUCAAAUUUCUGUUUUUUUUUUCGUCACCACUCACCAUACUAACCCCCCACAAAAAAUUACUUUUUUACUUUUUUUUUUGUAAAUUCAAAUUUCUAUUUUUCUUUUUUCUGCAACCUCCCCCCUCCCCCCCCCCCCACACACACAAAAAAAUACUUUUUCUUUGUAAUUUUAAACUUUCUGUUUUUUCUUUUUUGCACCCCCCCCCCCCUCGCGCGCUGAUUUUUUUUUUUAAUAUAUAUUUUCAGUUUUAGUUUUUUCAUCUUUCGGUUUACAAGUUCGAAAUUUUAUAAGUUCCAAAAUUAUGAGUUCAGAGGUUUAUGUAUUUGAAAGUUUACGGGUUCAAAAUUUUGCGGUUUUGAAAAUUUAGCGGUUCGGAAGUUUAUGAAAUUUGUGGGUUCGGAAGGUUGUUGGUUCGAAAGUUUAUGGUUUCAUGUUUAUUAUAUCUAAAUUAUUUAUGAAUACUCUUGGGAAGCUAUUUUCCUUAAUUUGCGUGUCAAACACCGGAAAAUGAAUAAGAUUACUAUUUAUUUUUCAAGAAAAUAUUUUUUUGGAAAAUAUUUUCCGUUAUACCAAAAACACCCUAAAUGGCAGUUAUUUAAGAUUUUUACAAAAAUAAGUAAUGUCUAAUCUCUAAUUGUUAUCCAUGAGAAUGAUUAUCUGUGCACUUGCCCCUAUUUAAAGAUUUUAAGAAGAUAGCAAGCUGGGGCGGAUCUAUGUAUUGAGUUGGGGGUGGCACGCUACCCGAUAGCUAGAAUAAAGUUUUAUAUACAUACUAGUAUUUUUUCACAAAAAUACCUACAUAAGGAACAAGUGGCACCCUAAGUCACAAAAUGACUAAAGGUGUCGUGGUUGAAGUGCUGAAAUUCCAUGCACAACACAUGUGAUCGAGACUCUCUUGAUGCGAUCAUUGUUCCUUUUUUGUUGUUUUUGUUAAUUUCUCUUAUUUUCUUUAUCUUAAAUAUUUGUUCGUAUUUUAUUUGGAUGGAUGUAAUCUAAUCAUUUUCUUUUUAUCCAUAUAAUAUUAUUUUGUUAAUUAUAAUUUUUUUUAAUAGUGAUGCAUUAAAGACAUAAUAUAAUAUUAAUCAGCUACAUGUAGAUGAAAGGGAUGUAUCGCAUAUUCGUUUAUGCAUAAAAUAAAUUUUAAAUUAGAUUGAAUAAAUUCAAAAUGGAUCGAACCGAACCGAAGUAAUUCAAGACUGAUCGAAUCGACUGAAUUAACACCCUAAUUCAAUCUUCUUCACUAGUGGUCGUUUUGCAUUAAAAUAGUGACAUUCGUAAUCAUGAAAUCCUGGAUCCGCCUCUGAUAGUAAGGCACGGUUAAAAUCAAUCUCUAAUCUUUCUAAUGUGAAUGUAAAGUAUACUAUUCACCUCAAGAUCGGAGAGAAAAAAGAAGUUAUAUAAAAAACAAUGAUUAAUAAAAAGAAAAAUAGAGAAUAAAGAAGGAAAGAAAAAAGAGAAAAGAGAAAAGAAAUAAAAUUAAGUGGAAUAUGACGUAGUGCCGAUGUGGUAGCGAAUGAAAAACACUGUAUUAUUCGUUCUGCAUUUCCAUGCCGUAAUGACUCACUUCGGCCAACUUGGCUUUUCGAAGUUUAAGGAGGUGAUUUGUGUACUUUCUCAUUUCUCAUUAAAAGAAAAUAGGCGUUUUAAUAGGUAAAACAGUAGAAAAGGAAAAAACAAAAAUAAAGCUCGUGGAUCCAAUCUGCUCGUGUACACUCACUUUUUGUGAUGCCUAUGUUUCUGUCUACUGUGAAAAAAGACGGAAUCAAAUUUUAAUUUUGUAAGUUCUGAAUUUUAGAACGAUCAUUUUAAAUAUUAAUAAUUGAGUUCUAAAUUUAAUAUUUAUAUAUACUUAAUAAAUUUUUUACUAAGCAAAAAUUAUUAAGUUCGCCCGAAACCAUAACUCUUACCCGUGAGACCACUAAAAACUAUGAGCUCCUUUGGCACAAGGAAAAAAACUUCACCAGCUUUUUAACUGACCAAAAUAUACCUGGAUAUCCUCACAGUAUAUGCUCUUCGAAUCUAUUAGCUUGAACAAUUUCGUUUGAAACAAAUUUUAAGAAAUAGCCUUACACUUAUCUUUAAAUAGUUUCUAAAAUUAUUGUGUUUCAGACUUUUACAAAAGAACAUAAAACGUCAUUCUAUCACAUGAAAAAAAAUCGUACUUGAUAUUACAUAAAACUAAUGAAUGAUGAAUAUAUGUAUAUAUCACUUAAUCAUGUUAAUUGAUAUAAUUUUUCACUUAAUUUAUAUAAUAUAAUUAAUUAAUUUAAUCUUGUGUAAAAUUGGGUGCAGUUACAUAUUUAGUGCUCGAUUGUUCUUUGCACCUAUGGGGGUGGCUUGAUGAUCCACUAAGCGGGGAAAACCCACGUAGAAAUGACACCAGGUAGCUAUUGUAAAAGACUGUUAUUUAGGAAUUAGCGUGAAUUUCAGUUUUUAGGACAAAAAUGGCGAAGCUAAGAUUUUUAAUUUAAAACUUCACGAUAAAAAUAAAUACAGGUUAAUAUCUAAAUAGCGCCUCUGAGAAUGACUAUAUGUGCACUUGCCCCUUGGGUCUUAGAUUCAAAUGGCCAGGACACCUCAUAUUUUUUAAAAAAAAUCCAAAAAUCACUAUUGUUUAGCGGUUAUUAAUUUCCUAUAACUGCUGUUUAGUUGUUAGGCGACUGUAUUCGCGCUACUAUAUUCAUGGAUACAAUAGCAUAAUUCACCUAGAAAAAUAGGGGAGUCAAGCCGUGCGACUGUAUUCGUACCAUUGUAUUUAUGAAUACAGUAGCGAAAUUCGCCUAAAAAUAGGAGAGUCCAGUUGUUUAAUAACGAAAAGAGGAUUAAUUAGCGUUUAUCACUCAUAAUCUAACUCAACAAAAUCAAUUCUACAUAAAUUUUGCUGCUAUUGUGUUGUAUUCCAUGUAUUAACACAAUUGUAUUUAUAAAUACAAUGAGGUAAAAAUGUGAAUUACAUCUGUUUAAUUCUGUAUUCCAUAUAUUCGCGUGAAUAUAUUUAUAAAUAUAGUAAGGUGAUCCGCCUAAAAAAUAGUGAUUACGGGUGUUUAAUAACGUAAAGUGCAAUGUUAAAUUGUAUUCAAUUUUACUAUAUUGAACUUAGUUGUAUUCAAGCAAUAAAAAAUCAAGAAAUAGGGUGUAUAACGUUCUAUUCAAUUCGUCUGUAUACAUUGUAUUCAAUUCACAUAUAUUUAUUAUUCACUAUUAUACAUUAUAUUUAAUUUAUCGUAUUCAAUUCGACUGUAUUCAAACAAUAAAAAAUCACAACGCACAGUGGUAUUCGGCUGUAUUCAAAAAAUAGAGACCUUCGUAAAACAUGAAUGGGUCGACCCGACCUGGACCCAACCCCGAACCUGUUGACUCUUGGCUCGUAGGUCAAUUAAUCGGGCCGAUUAACUUUCUUAUAGGGGCAGGUCCGGAUUUGACCCAUUAAUCAAAAUAUGUUGACCCGACCCGACCCCGUAACCAAUAAUUCCUUAGCAUUAAAACUUAAGAAACACAUGGAAUUCGACUAUUUCUAUAACUAAUAGUCUAAAUCAUAUGGAAUUCGACUAUUUCGAUAAGACGCCUCAUAGUGUUUGGUACUAUAUUCUUUUUUCAAUGUUUGGAUUCAAUUUUUUAUCACUUGUCUGAAUAUAUAUAUGUGAGCUUGUCCGGGCCAGUUGACCUGUGGGUCAGCUACCGGUUCGGGCCCAGUCCGGUUUAGUGGGUCAAGAUAUUAUAGCCCGACUCAUGCCCCUUAAAUUAAUGAGUUGAUCCGGUUAGGAUUUCGUGGGUCAUGAGCCGGUUAAAGGGUGUUAAUGGGAUAUAUGGACUCGUUCGUGGGUCGACCCGACCUAUUUGAUAGGUCUAGGUGGCACUGAGACAAGGAAGAGAGAGAAAAAACAUAGCUGGCGUAAUUUAUGCAUCAAUGAUAGAUAUAAAUAAAUACAUAUUUUGGUAUAAUAUAGAAAAUAUAGGUAUAAAUAAUAAUAUUUUAAAAUUAUUUUGGUUUAUAGUAUAAUAAAUAUGGUGUAAUAGUUUUGGGUAAGAGGUAAAAUUUUGAAAAAGAAAAUAGUGGAAUGAGAUAGAGGGUAAUUUAGUCAUUACAGUAACAAGCGAGAGUGACAAACACAUCCCCGAUUAAUCCGCAUAUACUACCCACACAUCACUAUAUAAAAUCCUGGCUCCUCAUUGCAUUACCACAAAGUUUUUAGAUCUUAUUUCUUGCUCUGCAAUCCUCGCGAAUCCUUUGAUAUCAUCUACAUCCAAAAAUGGGCAGAACUUUCUUCGUCGGCGGCAACUGGAAAUGCGUAAGCUCCGGAAUUCACCAAAUCUGUCUUCGUUUUUUCCUUCUCAUCAUUCAAUUUUCGUCGAUUUAUAUAUAAUUUUAGCUUAUAUAGUUAGUAGUACAGUUUCUCGAUCUACCGAUAAGAUUAAAAUUGUUAGCGUAACGAUUUGAAUCUCGAUCUUAUGUUGUUGUUAGUCACUACGUGUUUAUGCUCGAAAUAAAUUUAUGUUUAAUUGUGUUGGAUCUGAAUUAUUCCCUUAUUAUGGAUUGUUUUUUGGUGGAGCAGUAAAAUCGAUCUCUAUGAAACCGGAUCUUUAGUUUUUUAAAAGUAGGAUUUAAGUUUUAUACAUAUGAUAGAUUGAUAGCGUAAAGAUCUAUAAUUGAAUCAUGUUAGUUUUCAUUUUUCCUUAUCAAAAAAAGCGAAUCAUCUUAGUUACCAUUUUUACUACGAUACUAAUUAAUUUUUAUCAAAGAGAUUUAGCUGUAUUUAUUUGAUAAAUGACCUGAUUGUGUAGAUAUUUUUUUGACUGUCAGUGAAUUAAGCUAUUAAAUGUAUAAUGCUCAACACAUAAAUUUCAAAAUUUCAUGAAUAAGAACUCCAAAAAAGAAGAAAGAGCAAAGAAAGGAACAGAACAAAAAAUUGAAAGGCCAUUGUGCAGAAGAUUAGUUGUUUAAGUUUGACUGUUCCAAAUUUGAGUGUUAUUUGCUACUCAAACUUGGAGGUGGAUCUACUUGUCAAAAGAAAUAUAUAUCUUAUGAAACCCUUUUCCACUAUGUUAUGGUUCACGAGGCCACAUCCGCAUCUGCUCAAGCUAUGCUUGACAGAAGCCUCAAAUAAUAUUUGGUAGUCAAAAGAUGAAUUAGCUCUAAUAAUGAAUGCAAUGCAGAAUGGAACCAGUGAAGAGGUCAAGAAGAUAGUAUCAACACUCAAUGCCGGUCAAGUGCCAUCACAAGAUGUUGUUGGUAAGUGAAUUUUUUACGCAAGUAAUCAUUUUGAUAUAGUAUUUUGGGUGGAACUGUUGUUACUGGCUUGUCGAAUGGAUAAUCAUUUUAGGGUGUUUAUAUCCGCUCCUCUAAACCCAUAAGAUAAACAAAAUGUAAUAGAUUUGUAUUUCUGGUUGUAAGUUCUCCGGACGCUGUAGUAAUUGAUAUGUGCACCAAAGCUAUAAAAUUUGAGGGUUUUCGAUAUUCUAGACAUCAUAUAUAUGAGACAGACAACUUGACCAGAGUCAACUCCAAAGAUAUAUAAGGCUUAUCUUGUCAUUAGUUAACCAUAAGUAGAAACAAAAGUAUCAUGUUCUACUUAUCUCAUCAUGUAAGUAAAUAGUUAGUGGAAAAUAUAGCAUAAAGCUUUUUGAUGUUGUCUCCUAAAUUAAAGUCUCAAUAACUAUUUGAUGAAAUGCAAGUUCUAUCGUUUUUGAAAUAUAUAAUCAUUUGCCAGUCUAUUGUUGCUCUCACAUUGGUACAAACCAGACUUGGACAUAAUGAGGGUAUGUUUAACCAGUUUAGGGAGAACAGUGUAAUUGAAUCGUCUUUCAAGAUCUUCACUUGCUUUUAUUUGAGUGUUGUAUAUGUUUGGAUAAGAUCAUAGUUUUGCUUGACGCAUUUACUAACUUUCUUUUCUUGCAGAGGUUGUUGUGAGCCCUCCAUUUGUAUUUCUUCCUCUGGUCAAGAAUGAACUGCGACCUGAUUUUCAUGUUGCUGCCCAGAAUUGUUGGGUUAAGAAAGGGGGUGCUUUCACCGGUGAGGUUAGGUACGUUUAAUUUUCUACUUCUGUGCCAUAUUGCACUUAAGGAAAGACAAUAUAUUUAGCUGCUAACUUUUUGAGGCCUGCACGUUGAGGAAAGAACUGACAGUUAGGUAAUUCUUGUGGUCUAGUUUUAGGUAUUGUUUCUUCAGGCUGCAAGUUUUGGCAUUAUAUUUUGACCAUCUAUGUCUUACGCUACCUUUGUGCAGUCCUUGUGUUAAUAAUUGUGUGUUUGUGUGUGGUUUUUGGGGGGGGGGGGGGGUCUAGUGUGUAGUGUGUAGUAUUUGAGUCUGAUAAUUUAUUCUAAGCUGAUAAUAAUUCUAUAUGCAGUGCUGAGAUGCUUGUUAAUCUGAGCAUUCCUUGGGUCAUUUUGGGUCACUCUGAAAGGAGGGCUAUUUUAGGUGAAUCAGAUGAGGUAAGCUAUGCCAUGUAAAGCUGCUGAUUUUUGUCAUAUCUUCAAUGUAAUUACUAAUCACCGAGCUGAAAAAAGCUUAUUUUUUUAAUGAAUUUCUUAACUUGUUAACCGUUAAUUGCAGUUUGUCGGAGACAAGGUAGCGUAUGCCAUUUCUCAAGGUUUGAAGGUUAUUGCAUGUGUUGGGGAGACUCUUGAGCAAAGAGAAUCAGGAUCUACCAUUGAUGUUGUUGCAGCACAAACGAAGGCUAUUGCAGGUAGAGCUAUCAAAAAUGCUUUCUUGCUUCAGGGAUUAUGAUUUUCUUGCUAGCAUCCAACUUGAUAAAAUUAUGCUGAUGUGUACUCCGUCCAUUUUAAUGUGAUAUUUAUUACGAAUCAGCAAGAAAAUGGGGAACAGGAACGAAGAAAUGGAUCUUUGAAACUUGUUGAGAAGCCUAAAAGGUAAAAAAAGAAGUAAAAUAAAGGGAUUGAAGAAACCUACAAUCUCUUGGAAUCAAUCCACUUUCACGAAAGAUAGUGCAUAAUGGAAGAGAGAUUUAUAUUGGUGAUACCAAUUAGUUGGGAAUAUAUUUUUGCCAUGUUAAAUGGUUACUUUAGUCCUAUGCUUUCUAGGAGUCAUUAAGCCCUAUUAGACAUCUUAUUCCCGUAAGAAAUAUAGAGAGCUUUUAGAACUUUUCAUAUUUAUUUUAUUUUGUAUAUGUUGACAUGCGAUUAGUUUAAAUGGGGAACAUGGUCGGUGGGGAUUCAUAUAGCCAACCCCAACUUGUUUAGGAUCGAGAUGUAAUUGUUGUUGUAGUUGUAGUAAAGGAUUUGGAGAGAACAGGGUAAAGAAUUGAAACUAUCAAAUCUUUUUAUUUGUGUUUUGUGAGUGCUUUGUGGGGCAUCCUAGUGCAUGUUAGGGGUGACAGCUUGGUAUUAUCAUCCAUACAUUGAAUGUCGAUUUGUACCAUUUGAAGGCUUCAAGAUUUUAGAAAAUAUUACUCACUCCUUUCUAAUUUACAUGACAUUUUUCCUUUUUGGCACAUUCCAUAAUGUUUGACAUCAUUCUAUUUCUGUAUAACUUUCACAAAUUUCAAGAGGUUGAAUUCAUUAAGUUAUUAAAAUCUUAUUCAGAGUCAAAAAAUGCUAGGUAAUAUUUUUUCAUCUGCCUAAGCCUUGGUGGGUAGAGUUAUUAGGUACAUGUGCUGGUGAGAGAUAGGUGAAUUAGUCGAGAUGCGUGCAACUUGCCUGGACUCCGACAUUACGAAAAAUGGAUUAAAAUGUCCACACUUUUAACUUGAAUAUUCCUCUCCUUUAAACGACUGCCUUUAUGAUUCUUCCAUCAUCUCUUAUAUACUGCCUAAGUCAAUUAACAUGUUGUCAUCUUGAACUGUGCCCACUCAAAUACUGUCGUAGGAGUAGUAAUUUUUUGGAAUAGCAAUGUGUCAACUGGCAAUAGACCUUUUGGUCCUUCAGCUAACUGCUUUCACUUCAUCUCAUUGCAGACCGAGUAAAAGAUUGGACAAAAGUGGUUAUAGCUUAUGAGCCUGUUUGGGCUAUUGGAACCGGAAAGGUUGCAUCACCUGCACAAGCCCAGGAAGUAAGUUGAUAUGACCAGCUUGUUUCAUUUACUCAAUCAAGUUCCUCUAGGUUUAUAACACAUUUCAACUAGAUUUGAAUGUGAAUAUCACUGAUUGAAUAUUCAUCUCAUUAGGUGGUAUUUUCCAUGCUCUUUUGUCAAUUGUUCAACACUAGAUUACAAAUAUGUUGCUUUCAUGUUCUUUCUAUCCUUUGUCUGGGGAUCUGUUGCUGGUACCAGUGAGGGAUUGGAAAGCUAUUCUGUUAGAGCCAUUAUCUAAUAUGUUCUUUACUUCUACAUCAACCUAUUAAGUAGUAAUUUCAAGAUAGAAUUGCAAGUUUCUCCCAUUCACUUUGCAAUUCAUAAAUUAAUUCACUUGUGGUUUCAUGACAUCAUCACAUUGAUGUAGAUAACGAGUGCACCCUGGUGCAUUAAUGUGGUACGACUUUCAGCUAUUUUGUUUUAAGGUCGUUCUCUGCAUUCCAGGUGCACGCUGAAUUGAGGAAAUGGCUUCAAGCGAAUGUUAGUGCUGAAGUGGCUGCUUCAACCAGGAUCAUCUAUGGAGGUAAUGUUCUAUGAGCACCAUAUCAUUUGCAUCUUCUCUCUGUUCAUUUUUCUCCCAUGCAUCAGCAAUAAGAUUUUGAGAAAUUCUUCUCAAGGUUGCAUAUGUUUGUGGAAGAUAAGAUUAACUCCAUCUCUUGCUGGACGCAUUCUAUCCUUCUCAAGGAAAAUAACUGUGGUACUUGUUUUAACGGUGUUGGAUAGCAAGCAUAUAGUCAACUUUAAUAUGAUUGUCUACUAUUGGGCGUAUUGAAGCAGACUUAAAAGUAUUUGGUGCAUAGUCAACUACAUAACUGAACAAGUAGCUUUUGUAACCAUAACUUGGCUGCAAAAUAGCUAAAUACUCAUAUGCAAAUGCAAAACUUGUUCUGCAUAUUUUAGUGUGUCCUUCCCCCUCCCCCCCCCCCCCCCCUCCUUAUUCUACUCUAUAAACAGGAUUAGUAUUUUCCCAUUAGCUCUUCUAAGUAACUAAAUACUAUUAUGCUCUUGCAGGAUCUGUAAACGGUGCAAACUGCAAGGAGUUGGCUGCACAGCCAGAUAUUGACGGUUUUCUUGUAGGUGGAGCUUCUCUGAAGGUAUGUCAAAAUACUUUGGAGUUGCUUUCUUCUGGCCAUUCUUGGCUUAAUAAACAAUGAAUUAUGUUUGAUAUAGGAGGAAUCUUAAAGAAAUAAAAGAAUAGAAUGAGUAGCUUAUUCUUACCUUUUUCCGUUUUCUGUAUUUACAGCCGGAAUUCAUUGACAUCAUCAAGUCAGCUGAGGUGAAGAAAAAUACUUGAACGUUGACUGCGAGUUGAAUUUUGCAGUUUCUGCUUAGUCCAUGUUCUAACAUUUAUGCCAUGCAGUAGGCUUGUUUCAAGUCAAUGUUUUGUGUACUCUUUGUUGCAGCUCGAAAUUCACAUUACAUGUACAAUAAAAAUGACAAUACAUUGCACUGCCCUCUACUUUUUUUGGCUGCCACAAAAUUGUUUUAUAAUAAUCUUGGGAAUUAGUGUUUGCAUAUCGUCAUGCCUGAAAGGAUGAUUCUGGAAAUACUGCUCGCUUUGUUUAAGAUACAUUGCAGAAAUUGACGAUGGGAUUUUGCUAGUCAUUUAAGAUCAAGCUUUCCUGAAAGUCGACAAGGUUAUGGGAGAACUUUUGACUUCUUGAUCUAAAGCUCUCCUAUAUGAUUUGUUUUAGUAUUUUACCUUUUUUGUGUGGAAGUUCUAGCUUAAUUUUACUUUUUUUUUUACUUGCAAUACUUAUUCGUAAGCUGCUUUCGACUUAUUUCCUAAUGUGUUUGAUUUUGGUUCUAGAUAUUCUUGUUUCCUACUUUUUUUGUGACUGUGUAAGCAACUUUGCCCCAUUUGUUUUUGUUUGAGAUUAAGAUGUCUGGAAUUUUGAUACAUUUUGCAACUUUGCCCCAUUUGUUUUUGUUUGAGAUUAAGAUGUCUGGAAUUUUGAUACAUUUUAUUAUUAAGAUAUUUUCCCAAUAAAUAAUAAUGGAUACUGUUUGUUUUUUCAGCAUUAUAUACAUAUUAAUUAAUAAAUACAAUCAAACUUCUAUAUAACAACCUCGUUUGUUUCGAAAUAUUUUGGCUAGCUUACUAUAGUCAAGUGUUGUUAUAUAGGACAUAUAUUAUAAUAUAAUAUAGUAUUCGGUUUCGAGAAUAACUCGACUUUUAUAGUAAAUGAUUAUUAUGUAGAGAUUCUGUUAUAAAGAGGUUUGACUGUAUCAAAUCCAAGUAAUAACUAAAUAUCUAUACUCAUAAUAUAUUUAGAGAAUUUUAUAUUAGCUAUUUUUUUUUCUUCUGUUUUUCAAAAACUGUUUCUGCUUCUCCUCAAACACACUUUUUUUCUUCUAAAAGCUUGGCCAAGCACCUCAAUUUUUGGAAAAAACUUUUGGCUCCCCAAAAAACUUGCCAAACAGACUAUUAUGCGUUUGGACAUAAACAUAGAAAUUUUUGAAACAAAAAGUAGUAUUUUGAGAUAGGUUGAAAAAUAAUAUUUGAAAUUUAAAAUUAUGUAUGGACAUGCAUUUUACUUGAAAAAAUGUUAUAUUUUGUGAGUAGGGAAAUAAAAAUUUCUAAAAUUUGAAAAACUUAUUUUCGAAAUUUUUUCAAUUUGAAAAACAUAUUUGAGUCGACUGCUUUUUCUCCCUCUUCUCCCUAACGUCUCCCUCUUCUCCCUAACGUCUCUCUGCCUCAACCUACCUACCACCGGACCAGGUAAGCCCCCACCCCUGUCUUCAUUUCCUCUCUUUCUCUUUCAUGCUUUCUUCUUCUUUUUCGUUUCUUCUCUUCCUUUUUUUUUUCUCCUUGCUCCCCCCUCUUUUCUCAUAUGCUUUCCCGAUCUCCCCCUCCAUAUCCCGCCUCUGUAUAUUUCCAUUUUCUCCUUCUUCUUUCUUUCUUUCACCUAUACCUCGUCUCUUAUACCUCCCGUUUCCCUAUUUUCUGGCGCACUGACCUAGCCUAGCGGCGGCGAAGACAAUUUUUUGGCGAGCCUCGGGCGAAGCGCGCGGGAAUUUGCAAAACAUAGCUGUUGUGGACAACACCUUUCUCAGCACCCGCUGGGACUCCAAGUUCUAUUGUACUUGCUUAGAAUUUGCUAUUUGUUAAUAUUCAGUCGGUUGCCUUUUAUCCUUGAUUAUUGUAAUUCCUUCGGCUUGCUUGCAUUUAUCUGCCAUUAGGUAUAUCACUCGUAUCUUUGGCGUGCUCAAGUUACACUACAUUUCAGCUUAUAUUUAGGCUUUGUUUGUUUUAUGCUUUACCUACUUGUCUGCAUUUGUAGUAGUUAAGGCUUAGUUUAUAUCCUUGUAUUUUUGCUGGUGUAGUGGCUACUCCGAGUGAUGGUAGUGUAAGGUCGUGUCCUCGGGUGGGUCAAGGGGCGAGGAGAAAGGGUGGCAAGGGGGUAAGGCAUACACAAGGUUGAGAGUUAGAUCCUGGAAUAUAGGGACACUGACAGGUAAGUCGAUAGAGUUGGGGAAGAUUCUCCAAAAGAGAAAGAUUAAUAUAUCAUGUGUCCAGGAUACUAGAUGGUGGGGGGGGGGGGGGUUACGAAGGCUCGGGAUGUUAAUGUGUAUAAGCUAUGGUAUUCGAGGAGUGUUGGCGGCAAGAACGUGGUAGGCAUUUUAGUUGAUAGGGAUCUUAGGGAGUUAGUGGUGGAUGUCAAGAGGGUGAAUGAUAUGAUGCUGAUUAUUAAGCUAGUGGUUAAUGGGUUCACUUUUAAGAUGAUUAGUGCUUACGCACCUCAAGCAGGGCUGAGCGAGGAGGUCAAAAGGCGAUGCUGGGAGGAUUUGGACGAGGUUGUGCGUGGUAUCCCGCAGUCCCAGAAGGUUUUCAUAGGGGGUGACUUCAAUGGCCUUGUUGGGGAGACGACUAGGGGUUAUAACGAGGUGCAUGGUGGGUUCAGUUUCGGGAUUAGGAACGAGGGUGGUACUUCGUUGUUGGAUUUUGCUAAAUCUUUUGACUUGGUACUAGCUAACACGUGUUUUCAAAGAGGGAGGAACACUUGGUCACUUUCCGGAGUAGGGUUGCCAAGACUCAGAUUGAAUAUCUUCUCCUCAGGAAAGGCGAUAAGGGUCUUUGUACGAAUUGCAAGGUUAUCGAGAGUGAGUGCCUCUCAACACAACAUAGGCUCUUGGUAAUGGACUUGGAGGUCAAGGAAGCCAGGAAGAAGAGAGCGGUGUACGUCCAACCUAAGAUCAAGUAGGGAGCCUUGACUAAGGGAAAGGCUCAGGAGUUGAGAGAGAAGUUGUUGGCUAUGGGGGCCUGGAGGAGUAAUGGAGACGCGAGUAAUAUGUGGACCAUGACAGCAAACUGAAUUAGGGAAGCUGCUACGGAGGUGUUAGGGGUCUCGAAGGGUUACUUGGGUAGCCACAAAUGGGACUGGUGGUGGAAUGGGGAGGUCCAAGGAAAAGUGAAAGCUAAGAAAGCGACAUAUUUGAAGCUAGUGGGGAGAAGAGCGGAGGUCGUAUAGGGAGUGUUAUAAGAAAGCAAGGAGAGAAGCGAAGCUCGAGGUCACAAAGGCUAAAACUGCAGCAUUUGAGAGAUUGUAUAAGGAUCUUAGGGGCAAAUACGGGGAUAGGAAGUUGUACAAGUUAGCCAAGAUUAGGGAGAGGAAGUCUCGGGACCUGGAUCGAGUGAGGUGCAUCAAAAACGAAGACGGUAAAGUAUUAGUGGAAGAGGCGGGUAUCAGGCGUAGAUGGCAGGGGUACUUCCAUAGACUCUUGAACGAGGAAGAUGAUAGAAACAUCAUUUUGGGUGAGUUGGAAAACUGAGAGAGUCGGAGAGUUUUUUGGUUUUGUAGGCAUAUUAUGUGUGAGGAGGUUGAUAUGGCAAUACGGAAGAUGAGUAGAGGUAAGACGACUGGGCCUGACGAGAUCCUGGUGGAAUUUUGGAAGAAGCGGGUAGGGUAGGCUUGGAGUGGCUUACUAGCUUGUUUAACGUCAUUUUCAAGACGAAGAAGAUGCACGGAGAUUGGCGGUUGAGUUUGUUAAUUUCGUUGUACAAAAACAAAUGGGAUAUCUAGAACUGCAACAGUUAUAGGGGUAUCAAGCUAAUGAGUCACACUAUGAAUGUUUGGGAGAGGGUGGUGGAGAAGAGAGCGAGGACAAGGUGACCUUGAGAAAUCUUAUGACAAAUUCUCGAGGGAGAUACUAUGGAGAUGUUUGGAGGUUAGUGGAGUCCCGGUAGCAUACAUCAAGGUGAUUAAGGACAUGUACGAAGGUGUUAAGACUCGGUUGAGGAUGGCGGGAGAAGACUCGGAACAUUUUCCUGUGGAGAUGGGGUUGCAUCAGGGAUCAGCCUUUAGCCCGUUUUUGUUUGCCCUAGCGUUGGAUGUGUUGACACGACACAUACAAGGGAGGGUGCCAUGGUGUAUGUCAUUUGCUGAUGACAUAGUACUGAUUAACGAGACGCGAGGGGGUGCUAACGCUAGGUUGGAAGUUCGGAGAUAGACGUUGAGUUUAAAGGUUUCAAGUUGAGUAGGUCGAAAACUGAAUACUUGGAGUGCAAGUUCAGUGAUGAGAGACAUGAAGAAGAGGUGGAAGUAAAGAUUGAUACUCAAGUCAUUCCCAAAAGAGAUAGUUUCAAGUAUCUUCGGUCUAUAAUCCAAGACAACGGGGAGAUUAGCGAGGAUGUUACUCAUGGCAUUGGAGUGGGAUGGAUGAGAUAGAGGCUAGAUUCGGGGGUUUUAUGCGAUAAGAAUGUGCCUCCUAGACUUAAGGGCAAAUUCUACAGGGUGGUAGUUAGAUCGGCUAUGUUGUAUGAAAUUGAGUGUUGGCCCGUCAAGAAGUCCCAUGUCCAGAAGAUAAGCGUAGUUGAAAUGAGGAUGUUGAGAUGGAUGUGUGGACAUACCAGGAAAGACAAGAUUAGGAAUGAAGUUAUUAGGGACAAGGUGUGAGUAGCAUCCGUAGAGGACAAGUUGCGGGAAUCGAGGUUGCGACUGUUUGUGCAUGUGAGGAGGAGAGACAUAGAUGGCCGGGUCAUGAGGUGUGAGAGGUGGACCAUGGAGGGCUUGAAGAAGGGUAGAUGUAGGCCAAAGAAGUAUUGGGGAGAGGUGAUUAGGCAAGACAUGUUGUGAACACCUAAUUUUUGACCACACCCAAAUUUUAUACUAUUUUAACGUAAAUAUUUCAUCUAGGUCUAGUCUUAAUAUUUAAAUUUUUGUCUUACUUUUAAUAGAUUUUAUUUGAGAAAAAAUAAAAAUUAGAAAAAAAUAAACCUAGAUUUAGUUAAUUAAUAUUUUUGGUUUAGUGUUUUAAUUGAAUUUUACUUCUAAAAGAAAAAAACUAAAACUUAAAAUUUGAAAUACCCGUAACUUUUCCAAAGUUUGGUAACAUAUUUUAUCUAAAAAAAAAAAGAAUAUUUCAAUCACCCCAUGACCCCCGAUCCAUCAUUUCCCUAACUCCCCCCACUUUGCACGUCAUUCACUAACUCCACACUAGCACACAAACUCAAUUCCUCAACUUCACUUCAAAAAACCAUGUUCCCCCACUCCAAAUUAGAGGAACAAAAACAAAAACUACUAAUAUUCUUCCCUAUAAAGAGAAUAAUGGAUACGGAGCAAAAGGGGAAAUAUUUGGAAGAGAGAAGUUUGAACAUAAGGGAGAAUGAAAUUGGGGGAAAUAAAUAUUGAGUAAGAAAGAAAGAAAGAGAGGUGAGAGAGAAAAGCAAUCUAAAAACGAAACAGGCAGUAACUAAGGAAAGACUCAAAAGAACUAUUUGGUUGAGUUUUGAAGUUCCGUUUGUUGUUCGGGGUUCGUAUAGUACGUGUUUUACAGAUAUUCACAAGGAAUUUGAAAGUUCGUCUUUGUUCUUUAAAUCCUACUUUGAUAUUUUUAAAUAAAGUUUGAAUAGUAUAUUAAAGAUGGAUUAGUUUUAUGUUGGUUGUCUUAAGUUAUACUUGAAUUGUCAAUACGCGAAUAUCAUGCCUUUGUUCGAGACGUUGGCUACUGUCUUUUGGAUAUAUAAUUAUUUUAUCUCAGUGAGUUUACUUAGAUUGAUAGCACAUUUUAUCACUAUAUUUUAUUCGUUUGUGACUUUUUCUUUAUGAGGUCUCAUAAUUUCUUGUUAAACAAAGUUGGGAACGUUUGCAUUUUUAUUCAUAUUCCAUGAGUAUGAUUAACUAAAAUAUCAUACUGGCAUGAAUUUUGCAUCUCGUGGUUGAAGUUUUAAGGAUGUCCAAUUAUUAAAUAAUCUAAGUAUGAUUCAUUUGGGUCUUUGUCAGUUAUGACCCUUUAAAAAAAAAAUUCUCGUCUAUUUUAGGUGGAACUAAUAAUUAUUUUGACAUCACACAACCACAAUAUUAAGAGGUCGUCAAUUGAACUAAGAAUCAAGGAUGGUGUUUUAGUUUUCAUGAAACUGAGGUAUUAAAUAUUUUUAUAAGUUAAUUGUCCAGCCUUAGGAAUAUGUUAAUAAUUAUGAAUGUUUUCAUUAAUGGAAAGAAUCUUGAAGUAUGUUCUAGUCUUCGUGUGAGUCAAAUCUGGUUUUGUUUAGUAAAAAAAAAUAUCUUUAGAGUUGUUUAAGUCCAGAGCAUAUUGAUUAUUUAUAUUAAUUUAAUCUAGCACUAAUAAACCGGUUUGCUUUAUUAUUUAUCAAAUCAAUGCCAUAUUUAAAUAUUUGUAUUAGUCUAGUAUAUCUUCUACACAUAACAAAUAAUUGUGAGAAAGGAAAUGAGCCAUGAACUAAUUCAAGACUCAUUGCAAUAAGUAAUAAAAUAUACAAUUAAAUAUCUCUAAUAUUAAAAAGACAAAAUAAUUAAAUUUUUUAAAUACGCUAUUAGCCCAUGCAUUCAUACUAGAACCUUGGAUUGAUAUGCUUAAAUAAUAAAAGGAUCAUGUGCACAUUCCCGCAUCUUGAUACCUUUCAAUUUAAAAUAAUUAUGUUUUAACCAUGUGUACAUUCUCGUACUUUGGUUUAACAUCCAACUUCAAAGAAGAAUACCUUGUGUGCGUACCACAUCUUGGUGAACACAAUUAAUAAAAUACAAUAAUUAAUUAAGUGGUAAUAGGCAAGUCAUAAUCAAUAAAAUACAAGAAUAGUCAAAAAUUAAUUUAAGCCGGACAUUAGUCAAAAGAAGCGACCGUGUUAGAAUCACGGGACUCGAGGGGUGUCUUACAUCUUUUUCUCGGUCAACAUAAUUUCUUACUCAGUCUUCUAUUUUUGUAGACCAUAAAUUAGGAGUCAAACCUUCCAUUUGAUGAGGGAUUCGAAUAAAAGUUGACUUGGAUCACUAAAACUCAAUUCUAAGUGGCGACUCUAAAUAAAAAAUAAUCCCUUCUCAAAACAUCACUUCAAUUGAAAAAAAUUUUCUAACUCAACCUCGUAAAAGGGUUGUAUGGAAAAAAAAAAAGAAGAGGUGUGACAACUCUGGCGACUCUGCUGGGGAAAAUUAAUAAGAAUUUGAGCUUCGUACAUUGACUCUUGUUUGGCUUUUAUCAUGUUUUGGAUAUUAUUGUGUUUGGGAGCCUAAUUUGAUAUUUGUCGCUUAUUUACCGCUUUAACAUUUAUUUGAAAUGUGAUAUAAACUGUAUCUUCUCUCGCAUCCCUCUAAGUCUUCUGAUAGGUAGUUAUAUUGUGUUUGCCUACCAGCAUCACAAAAUUUCUAUCUUGAGAUAAAGUUAGUUAACCUACCAGCUUCCGGUGAAGGAUUUAGUCACACAUGUUUAGGAGGAAAAGCCGUUAGCUAGCCAGUGUUGUUCUACUACUGGUGAUUCUUGACACUCCUCGGCUCGGGUGGUCCGCCCGGGUAAGCCAAGUCUAGAUACCAUCUCCUUUAGGAUUUGAAAACUUAGAAGAACAAGUCACACGCAAUGAAUAUCCCUAGUAGGCUACGCUUUAUUUGCAUCAUGUGUAUUGGACUUAGCGAAACUCGCCACAGGGGUCGGGCCCAUCUAGGGCAUGUACCAAUUUUCAGACCAACAUGUUCAUUUUUCUAUGCUAUAUGUAAUAUUAUUUGGUAGGCUUUACUCAAAUAUUGAUCGGCUUUAGGACACAUUGAUUGGACAGAAAAGAGAAAGAGAGAAAAUUUCCUCCAAGUUUUCAUAAAGUACCCAUUUUUUUUUUAAAAAAAAAAAACAAAUAAAAUUUUGAAGGGUUCUGGUGUAUAAAAUCAUAAUUUUCAAAAUAUUUUUUUUUUGUUUUAACUGAACUACGUGGAUCUGAUUCUCACUAUAUGUGAGAUACGUAGGCAAACCUCAUCGGUUUCGGUCCCCAAUUUUCAAAAAAUCCAAAAAUAUUUUACUUUUCCUUAAUUCCUUCUUAGAAUUAUUUCCUUAGAAAAUUCAAAACAAAAAAAAUCAUUAAAUCCAAAAAUAUUUUUCUUUUUUUUUUCAAAGUAUUUCAUUCGAAAAGAAAAAGAAAAAAGAAAAAAAAAACAAAUUUGCAAAGCAAAAUCCAAAAAUAUAUUUUUUCCUUCUUUAGAAGUCUUUCUUCCAAACGUUCAAAGAAAAAUCAAUCAAAAUCCAAAAGAAUAUUUUCUUUCUCCUUUAAGAAGUUUUCUUUUCCAAAAUUCUCAAAGAAAAAAAGAAGAAGAGCUAGCUUGUGUACUUUAUUUCCGGUAUUCCCGAACUACGCAAGAUCUGAUUAAUGUGGCAUUAUGAUAUGCAGGCAAUCUCCUGAAAAAAAAAGAGAAGAAAGAAAAAGAAAGAAAGGAGUGGCAAAAAUAACAAAGAAAAACAAAGAGCGAAAAACAUCCAAAAAAAAUAAAAAAAUAAAA